rnacentral:tRNA from 1 species
GGGGACGUAGCUCAUCUGGUAGAGCGCGGCAUUCGCAUUGCCGAGGUGGUCGGUUCGAGCCCGAUCGUCUCCACCA